rnacentral:lncRNA from 1 species
CAUCAGUGUAUGUGUGAGGUUCUACUCCUGUAUCUCUGCUGGGCAGGUAGUGGACUACAUUUCCCCUGGGUUGAUGAAACCGAGCGCUGUCCAGACACUUAUGUACGUUUCUGUGCUCUCUGAGUGGUCUGUCUUGUGAAGUGCCUGCCAGGCAACUGCCUUCUUAAUGUCUAUGCUGCUUUAUUUUGUUCGUCCCUUGUUGAUUAUGUGUAUUAGAAAUAUCUCCUCCUCUGUGGCCUGACUUUAAUUUUUGAAUCAAUCUUCAAUCAACUGAAGUUUUUCAUCUGAAUCUAAUCCACUUUGUCC